CUGUGACUCCUGCGAUUUCUGCGACGUACCACCGUAUGAAAAAGUUACAUCUGUCCACACAGAAAAUUGCAUCUCAACAAAUCUGUCAUUGGUACCUGAACUACAUUUCAGUCACUCAGUAAAGUGAUAAUUCAAAAUAUCAUUGUCAACAGAGCUGAAGAAAUUGUCAGUCUUUAGACCGUUUUCGUCAGACGAGAGACGCAGUUCUGACUGAUUACUGCUUGCUGUACAUAUCUAUCCACUUCAAGGUUGUUGAGAGAGACUCGUGAAGAUUCAAG